CAGUGAUUUAUUACUAUAUUCAAAUAACAAUGUGUAAGCAAGCCUAGAACAGAAGGGCCUACACAGUCGGUAUCUAUUAACACAGAAAGCUGGUUGGAACUGUAGUUCCAUUAUUUGCUAAUUCACUGUGUGACUAGGCAGAAGUCCUUUCAUCUUACAUCUUCAGUCUUCUCAACUGGAAAACGUGGGGACUGAAUUAGCAGAAUUCUCAAAGUUACCAUGAACAUUUUUUAAAAGUAUGUACUUCUACAGCGGGGGCUGGGAUUUGAGGUAAAUAGACUCCAGUGACACAAGACCUCUGUCAAGCAAGGUGUCUCUGUAAAGAAAAUGGGGUCCGGAACAAAGCUUUACAUUCUUCACAUUGGAACGGUCUCUCCUCAGAGUGGGUCUGCAGAGGAAAAACACUGAGUCAGGAGGAUCUAGAAUCAACCAGUCAUUACAAUGAACGAGUGGAGCUUGGAUUCAUGAUGCGAAAGAGGAAAGAAGGGAAGGUGGACAGUAUCUGUUUCUUCUAGUGCCAUUCUUCCACCGUAAAAUUGUAAAGACAAAUGUGCUGUGUUUGCAAGAGGAAAAAUAACUUUUGAAUGCUCACAGUAAUUAUUAACUUGAUAAAUAGUAAAAAAAAAAUAUUCCUAUUAUCUCAAACUGCUAAUCUGAAUACACACUGAGAUUUCUCAGGGCCUACUUUGUAGUGAAACUGUGCGUACUUUCUCUGAAAACUAAGCCUCCCCUAUCACUGGCCAGGCUUUUACUCUGCUGGUACAACAUUUGCAACACAGAUAAAAGAAAUUAUUAAAAG
rnacentral:lncRNA from 10 species